CCAGCCUGCUGAGAGAGGUCGAGCAGUGCUGCCAUACAAGGAAGGGUUGAGUCAAAGAGGUCACUGUCCACCAAGUGUGCAGCAGCAGCAGCUUGUUGUAACACUGUGCUGAUGAGGUCAGUUCACUCACUUCUACUUUAUGGGGCCCAGACUCUAUAAUUAGGCAGCUCAGAAAUGGUUUCCUGCUGAGUCUUAGGCACCACACCCCCAUACAUCCAGGCUACCCACGUAAGAGUUUACAAUAUGCCAUCCACUGCAGUGGAUGACUGCAACUAGAAAUACAUCUAUCAUAACCUCACAGGUGUACCCCGCCUCUCGUCUAAUGACGGCUAGAGAUAGACACCAGCCCCCAUGUGACCCUACAAGGAUAAGUGGGUGCGAGCGAUUGAUGGACAGAUGGAUGGACGGACGGAUGGAUGGAUGAACAGACGGACAGACAGACGAUGGAAAAGCCAGUGAGGGAAUGACCCUCUCCUGGGCGAUGCAUUGGAGGAUCCUGGGUGCUCCGUACAAGCCGCCCAUGCACGAAGCCAGGGAGGAGAUGUACAGGCCCAGGAGAAAGAGGAAACCCACCAAGGAGACC